rnacentral:rRNA from 1 species
GUGGGGAAUUUUGGACAAUGGGCGAAAGCCUGAUCCAGCCAUGCCGCGUGCAGGAUGAAGGCCUUCGGGUUGUAAACUGCUUUUGUACGGAACGAAAAGACUCUGGUUAAUACCUGGGGUCCAUGACGGUACCGUAAGAAUAAGCACCGGCUAACUACGUGCCAGCAGCCGCGGUAAUACGUAGGGUGCAAGCGUUAAUCGGAAUUACUGGGCGUAAAGCGUGCGCAGGCGGUUAUAUAAGACAGAUGUGAAAUCCCCGGGCUCAACCUGGGAACUGCAUUUGUGACUGUAUAGCUAGAGUACGGCAGAGGGGGAUGGAAUUCCGCGUGUAGCAGUGAAAUGCGUAGAUAUGCGGAGGAACACCGAUGGCGAAGACAAUCCCCUGGGCCUGUACUGACGCUCAUGCACGAAAGCGUGGGGAGCAAACAGGAUUAGAAACCCUGGUAGUCC